UUAGAAAGGUGAAUAACUUUAAAUUAAUUUAAUUUUAUCUAAUAUACAAUCUAAUUAUUUAAUUUAUUUUGCUAAUAUAAUUUGUUUAAUCUUAUUACUACAGAAAACCUACUGGUGGAACUUUGACGAUGAGUCCAUGUUUUGGGUCUUCCACAUGUGGGCCGAAAAGUACAUUUGGAAGACCUUUUUCGUAGCUCGGUCCAGCCUGGUCAAGCCACUAUGGUCGGCUAACGAGGUUUGUCUCCAACUCCAAGCGUGCUAGGCCAUCGAGCACUUCCCGCAGGAGUCCUCCAAGAAUAAGGCAAACCGGGUGGCAAACCGGGUGGCAAACCCCACGACGUCCUCGACUGUGUAACGAGGGGGGUCUUCCUCAAUCGACAUACAUAAGAUAAAAGCUUGGACAACCGCCUAAACAAAUAAAAUUAUUCGAGCGUUGCUACAAGAAGAAACAUGAGGGGGUUGGAGAGGGCCGAGAGCAGCGGAGGUGGCAAGAUGUUCCAGAAGAUGCUGGAGGAUCAUCAACCUCAACCCACGACUGACGACCUCGAUGCCCCCGCCGAAUCCGAGGCUUCGAUGGAGAUGACGGAGCAAUAUAUGUUGCUGGUUGCAGUUGGGGGCAAGAACAAGGGCCGAGUGUUCGGUCUUGUUUUUGAGGCCUACAUCUCCAACUGUAUAUGCCA